CACGUAGGGGGCGAGCGUUGUUCGGAAUUAUUGGGCGUAAAGCGCGCGCAGGCGGUCCUUUAAGUCUGAUGUGAAAGCCCACGGCUCAACCGUGGAGGGUCAUUGGAAACUGGAGGACUUGAGUGCAGAAGAGGAAAGUGGAAUUCCAAGUGUAGCGGUGAAAUGCGUAGAGAUUUGGAGGAACACCAGUGGCGAAGGCGACUUUCUGGUACGUGUAACUGACGCUGAGGCGCGAAAGCGUGGGGAGCAAACAGG
rnacentral:rRNA from 1 species